ACUCACAAGAAAGAGAAGGAAAAGAUUUUGGGUCCCAGGCCCUGUCACUAAAACCUUCCCAACGAGGAGAACAGGCUUAGUUGCCCAGAGCACCUUCGGUCUCUCAGCUGAGCAACCAGGGCCUUCAACAUUGGAGGAAUUCCCAUGAUGGCCAGCAGAGAGAGCUCAAGAACCACAGACCCCCGAGGGGCGGGUUCCUCUGCUGGGCAGUGAUAGCCAGCAGAGGGCGCACCAUCUGCUUUUCUGACCCAGGGCACCUCAGAGCAGGAAGGGCUUUGCUUGCUCUCAGAGGACUCAGGCCUCUGCUGGUGCCUGAGUACAGAGACGAGAGCUGCAUUUCCAGCAGGUUCUGCCACCCGCCCCAGGGGAGACCUUGGGAGCUUAGCAGCAACUUGGCAUCUCCUGAGUCGCCAGAGAGAAGCUGCCUUGUUGUACUGAGUGCUGAGGAGGGGGCGCCGGGUGGCUUCCCUGGUCAAGCUGGUCGCUGAGCUGCACAGGCCUUUGCAUUUUCUGGGCUGUUCCCGUGUUUCAUUCCACCCCUUCCCGGACACUGUUUGAACAAGACGUAUUUUACUAAAGGACUUGUGGAUUGCGGGGUCCCACGACAUCACCUCAUAGAUGCAAUCGAUGAUUUGUUCCAGAUCCAGGCUUGUUUCCGGGAAGAAACCCUAACAGAAAUUCAGAAGCACGGGAGCUGCAUUCAAGUAGGACGUGGAUCCAUGAAAUGCUCGUCUCACGACCUUCUAGAAGAAGGAGCUGGGACCCAUGUUCCGAGUCCUGCUGGACCCAGAGGCCAAGUCUAUGCAAGUCAGAAUCAACCUCCAUCCGCCUCCAUCCUUUAUGAGACCUAAGACGUGAUGCAGCUCCAAUGGGAAAUAUCAGUUGUGUCUCUACCAAGGAUGCAGAAAAAGACAAGAUUCAGGCUUGUUUCCGGUAAGAAACGCUGACAGAAAUUCAGAAGAACGGGAGCUGCAUUCCAUUAGGACUUGAAUACACGAAAUGUUCGUCUCAGGACCUUCUAGAAGAAUGAGCUGGGACCCACUUUCCGAGUCCUGCUGGAACCAGUGACCGAGAUAUUGCCCAGGUGGCUGAGGCCUGCACUAGGGUACCUACCUCCUUUUCGGAUAGACUGUAUUCCCUUUCCAUGUUUUAGCUGUACCUGUGACACAGGACACGAGAGAAUGUGCUCAUGUGAAUACAAGUGAAGGACACCGUGGGGACUUGCCACACAGAUAUUUGUGCCCAGGGCACACCUGAAGGGACUCUGGACAGCAUGUUUACCAAAAUGCUGAUGGGUAUGAAAUUUACAUUCUAAAGGACACAUACAAAAAUAUAAAUUGGAGUGAAGGCAGUUCGCAUUUUCAAAUUGUAACGAUACCCACAGAUUUUUCUGAGUACGUUAAAAUCCUCAAUAGAAGGAAACAGGAGAGGAAGACACAGCAAGAGCAAAGAUUCCACAUUGAGGAGAUCCACAAAGAAUGAGGCAAGAGACGCCUGUACCAACCCAUGGUGGGGGAAAAGACGAAGAUGAGAUCCUGAGCAACUUGAGGAUUGUGGUAAUGGCAGCAGACACAUUCCCCUUGCAUCACAAUGGUCUGUGGUACCGCCUCUGCACCUUGGCCCAGGACCUAACAGCAACAAAAUAAGGAUCCAAGAGAGUAGCAUCAGUACCUGAAAACUCUGUCCCUGCCACUGGAUAGCACCUACAGCUUGGGGUAGUAGAUGCAAGAGGUUAACCUACUGCCACCACACAUCACUGCCCACGUCUGUGGAAGAAAAUGGCAACGGUCCUGUCCUAACGGGUUAACAGAAGUAAUUACAGAUUAAUGAAGUAGCAUUCUCCAGACAGGCAGCCAUCGAUGUCCAGGUUCACCCUGCAUCCCUCCUCUACGCCAACUCCAGAUGCUCUGCUUUUGCUAUAUUAAGAACACACAAAAAAUGAGUGGGAACAAAUGGCUCAUAUUCUGCUCAUGGAAUCACAGCCACUCCUGGCAAAAUAUUCUGCAGCCGGACCCUCACUGUGCCUCCUCUGCUCCUCUCCCUGAGAAAGGAGUCUUCCCUCUUGAAGUGUUGUCAAAGGCCUCGGAGACCUGUGGGCAGUGGAGGAUGCCUGGAAUCUUGCAGGGGAAGGAGAGUCUUCUGUGAAGAACGAGUUACUUGUGGUGAAUGUCUACAAAGCUCAGAUGUGUUCAUCUUAAUUCAUAGGGAAUUCUGACUUUAAGCAUACGACAGGACACAGAGUCAUUAUGUGCAAUGGAAAAAAAGAGGGAGAAUUUCACAUAACAGAUUUCACGCAAGUGUUUUGGUAUAAAACUGGUAUGUGUCAUGAGACUAUAUCAGCUCUAACAGUGACUGGGGACACAACCAGCAACUGCUCAUAGAAACACAAUUGAAGGACACAGUGUGCAAAUUGUUUUUACCUAAGGUAUAGCUGGAGGAUUCCAGACAAGUCAUUUACCGACAAAGACGGACAGGUGAUGAGUGAUGAUAUUGGCUUUCUCUGUGACCACUCUAAAUGGCACAGGGCACAUAAUAGAAAGUUGGAGUCAUGAUGUCGUUUCUAACAGGUUCAUCUCCUAGCCAGAAUCAAGAAAGGAAGACACAGCAGCCACACUGUUCCCACAGAGGUGAGGUCUGGAAAGGAUCACCCAGGCCGGGAGACAUCUGUUUGGAGUGUGCAGUCAUCCUCCUCUCAUUAUUUCCUGAACCUCACGGAAAAACCUUAAGACCACACAGGAACAGGCUGCACAGCAGAAAUUGGACUGCAGCACAUCACAACGUGCUCCUUACCUCGCCUUGGAGGGUUCUUGCAGUGAUUGGUUUCUGCCUCGUGUAUCCCUCAGGCAGCCUCUUUGCUUCCAUCCCGUCCAGUCUUGGAUACAGAAAAAUAAUGGACUUCUAUAAGAGUUGCAACACCACGUCGUCUACUAGACAACUAACAGUGCAGGCGUCAUCCCUGGAAACACCCAAGUCAAAUGACCACACCUGUAUUUCAAGGUUGCAAAGACGAGGGCCAUGAAAUGGCACUACCACGUUGAUGGGUAUGAUUCAUUGUACGACACACUGCUUUCCUACAGAUGACGACAAUUGACACCACCCCCGAGGAAUGUUAGCAUGGACAAAGUUUCCACACAGUCUGGUCACUACUUGAGAUCUGCAAAUGUUUAGAAACUUAAUUAUUUUAUUCUUUCUAAAACUUACCUUUUUUAUCUGUUAAUACUCUAUGCAUAUGUUGACUUUAAACUUUUCAAAAAGAUUAAAAACCAAAAAAUGAA